GGCCAAUCCCGACAAGAGGUGCCCAGAGCAUAUGUGCAAGCAGGACAGGGCAGCUUGCCUUCAUGCAAAUCUUGGACUUCUAGGGACUUUGACCAUACUGGCCGAGUUGGCAAGGUGCCCAGAGCACAUGUGCAAAUGGGACAGGGCUGUUUGCCAUCCUAGAAGUCUUAGACUUCAAGGGUCUCAGACCCUACUGUCCAAGCCUGACGAUAAGUCUUGGGCUGGAAAUUUUGAACUUCCAAAGUCUAUGACCCUAUCGGGCAAACCCGACAAGAGGUGUCCAGAGCAUACGCGCAAGCGGGACAGGGACGCUUUCUGUCUUGGACUUCUAGGGACUUUGGCCAUACUGGCCGAGUUGGCAAGGUGCCCAGAGCAUAUGUGCAAAUGGGACAGGGCCGUUUGCCAUCCUAGAAGUCAUGGACUUCAAGGGUCUCAGACCCUACCGGCCAAUCCCGACGAGAGGUGUCUAAAGCAUACGCGUAAGCGGGACAGGGCCGCUUGCCUUCCUGCAAAUCUUGGACUUCUAGGGACUUUGACCAUACUGGCCGAGUUGGCAAGGUGCUCAGAGCAUAUGUGCAAACGGGACAGGGCCGUUUGCCAUCCUAGAAGUCUUGGACUUCAAGGGUCUCAGACCCUACCGGCCAAUCCCCACUAGAGGUGUCCAAAGCAUACGCACAAGCGGGACAGGGCCGCUUGCCUUCCUGCAAAUCUUGGACUUCUGUUGUCUUUGAUCCUACUGGCAGAGCCCGACAAGAAGUCUUGGACUUCUGGAAGUCUUGGACUUCCAGGGUCUCCGACCCUACUGUCCAAGCCUGACGAUAAGUCUUGGGCUGGAAGUUUUUAACUUCCAAGGUCUAUGACCCUAUCGGGCAAACCCGACAAGAGGUGUCCAGAGCAUACGUGCAAGCGGGACAGGGCCGCUUGCUGUCUUGGACUUCUAGGGACUUUGACCAUACUGGCCGAGUUGGCAAGGUGCCCAGAGCAUAUGUGCAAACGGGACAGGGCUGUUUGCAAUCCUAGAAGUCUUGGACUUCAAAGGGUCUCAGACCCUACAGGCCAAUCCCGACAAGAGGUGUCCAGAGCAUACGCACAAGCGGGACAGGGCCGCUUGCCUUCCUGCAAAUCUCGGACUUCUAGGGACUUUGACCAUACUGGCCGAGUUGGCAAGGUGCCCAGAGCAUAUGUGCAAACGGGACAGGGCCGUUUGCCAUCCUAGAAGUCUUGAACUUCAAGGGUCUCAGACCCUACCGGCCAAUCCCGACAAGAAGUGUCCAGAGCAUACGCGCAAGCGGGACAGGGCCGCUUUCCGUCUUGGACUUCUAGGGACUUUGACCAUACUGGCUGAGUUGGCAAGGUGCCCAGAGCAUAUGUGCAAACGGGACAGGGCCGUUUGCCAUCCUAGAAGUCUUGGACUUCAAGGGUCUCAGACCCUACCGGCCAAUCCCGACAAGAGGUGUCCAGAGCAUACGCACAAACGGGACAGGGCCGCUUGCCAUCCUAGAAGUCUUGGACUUUAAGGGUCUCAGACCCUACCGGCCAAUCCCGACAAGAGGUGUCCAGAGCAUACGCGCAAGCGGGACAGGGCCGCUUGCCUUCCUGCAAAUCUUGGACUUCUAGGGACUUUGGCCAUACUGGCCGAGUUGGCAAGGUGCCCAAAGCAUAUGUGCAAAUGGGACAGGGCCGUUUGCCAUCCUAGAAGUCUUGGACUUCAAGGGUCUCAGACCCUACCGGCCAAUCCCGACAAGAGGUGUCCAGAACAUACACGCAAGCGGGACAGGGCCGCUUUCCGUCUUGGACUUCUAGGGACUUUGACCAUACUGGCUGAGUUGGCAAGGUGCCCAGAGCAUAUGUGCAAAUGGGACAGGGCUGUUUGCCAUCCUAGAAGUCUUAGACUUCAAGAGUCUCAGACCCUACUGUCCAAGCCUGACGAUAUGUCUUGGGCUGGAAAUUUUGAACUUCCAAAGUCUAUGACCCUAUCGGGCAAACCCGACAAGAGGUGUCCAGAGCAUACGCGCAAGCGGGACAGGGACGCUUUCUGUCUUGGACUUCUAGGGACUUUGGCCAUACUGGCCGAGUUGGCAAGGUGCCCAGAGCAUAUGUGCAAACGGGACAGGGCCGUUUGCCAUCCUAGAAGUCAUGGACUUUAAGGGUCUCAGACCCUACCGGCCAAUCCCGACGAGAGGUGUCCAAAGCAUACGCACAAGCGGGACAGGGCCGCUUGCCUUCCUGCAAAUCUUGGACUUCUGUUGUCUUUGAUCCUACUGGCAGAGCCCGACUAGAAGUCUUGGACUUCUGGAAGUCUUGGACUUCCAGGGUCUCCGACCCUACUGUCCAAGCCUGACGAUAAGUCUUGGGCUGGAAGUUUUAACUUCCAAGGUCUAUGACCCUAUCGGGAAAACCCGACAAGAGGUGUCCAGAGCAUAUGUGCAAGCAGGACAGGGCAGCUUGCCUUCAUGCAAAUCUUGGACUUCUAGGGACUUUGACCAUACUGGCCGAGUUGGCAAGGUGCCCAGAGCACAUGUGCAAAUGGGACAGGGCUGUUUGCCAUCCUAGAAGUCUUGGACUUCUGUUGUCUUUGAUCCUACUGGCAGAGCCCGACAAGAAGUCUUGGACUUCUGGAAGUCUUGGACUUCUGGAAGUCUUGGACUUCCAGGGUCUCCGACCCUACUGUCCAAGCCUGACGAUAAGUCUUGGGCUGGAAGUUUUUAACUUCCAAGGUCUAUGACCCUAUCGGGCAAACCCGACAAGAGGUGUCCAGAGCAUACGCGCAAGCGGGACAGGGCCGCUUGCUGUCUUGGACUUCUAGGGACUUUGACCAUACUGGCCGAGUUGGCAAGGUGCCCAGAGCAUAUGUGCAAACGGGACAGGGCCGUUUGCCAUCCUAGAAGUCUUGGACUUCAAGGGUCUCAGACCCUACCAGCCAAUCCCGACGAGAGGUGUCCAAAGCAUACGCGCAAGCGGGACAGGGCCGCUUGCCUUCCUGCAAAUCUUGGACUUCUAGGGACUUUGAUUAUACUGGCCAAGUUGGCAAGGUGCCCAGAGCAUAUGUGCAAACGGGACAGGGCUGUUUGCCAUCCUAGAAGUCUUGGACUUCAAGGGUCUCAGACCCUACCAGCCAAUCCCGACGAGAGGUGUCCAAAGCAUACGCGCAAGCGGGAGAGGGCCGCUUGCCUUCCUGCAAAUCUUGGACUUCUAGGGACUUUGAUUAUACUGGCCAAGUUGGCAAGGUGCCCAGAGCAUAUGUGCAAACGGGACAGGGCCGUUUGCCAUCCUGCAAGUCUUGGACUUCUAGGGUCUUGACCCUACCAGCUGAGCCCAACGAGAAGUCUUGAACUUCUAGGGUCUUGGACUUCUAGGGUCUUUGACCAUACCGGAUGAGCCCGAUGAGAAGUCUUGGACUUCUGGAAGUCUUGGACUUCUGGAAGUCUUGGACUGUUCUCGAAAGGGAACAACGUAAAGCUAGGCAAACACUAAACAUACUAGCCUAAACUGAACUAUAAACUUCACAGUAAACUAAACUUUAAAUAACUAGACUUAAUAGACUUCAUACAGGAAACAUACAAACACAUCACCACAUGACGGCAAACACAAGUUUAUCAAGGGGGCAACAGGUGUAGGGCAUAUAACAAUAGCAAGAUAAUUAACCCAAUUAACACCAAAGCAAACAAUGACCAUGUGCUUCCACACAAAACAAGUAACGUUGUCACGAUCCUGACAAAAGACUAGAAAAGCAUGAAUGAUAGAGGCAGGAUCGUGACAUAUGGUGAAAUUGUCAUAUUUUUGUCUUUAACUUCUUCUGUGAGUUCAAUUUGUUUUACAGAUAGUAAAAACAUUUGAUGGAUUGUUGUUAGAUGACCGACUCAUCAUCAAUGAUGAGGCACUUGAGGGGUGGCAGGCUGCGCAGAAGGGCACAUCUCAAAACAUGCAGCUGGACAGUAAGAGGUAUGGUAUCCAUUACAGCUCUCUUUAUUUCUUACCAAAUCUAAACUAGACUAAAGCCCGGUACACACCAAAAGGUAAUCGGGCUGAAUUUGGGUCGAUUUUCCCCCUAGGUAAAGUCCCAAUCAUCUUUGCGGUCGAACCGAUUAUCUUAGAUUUUGCUUUAGUGCGUGGUGUGUUAAGAACGUCUGAAUCUGAAUUAUAAUUGAAUAUGAUCAUUAAUUGACAUGUUUCUGUUUUUUAAUUAGAAAUUAAAAACCAGACUCCAUGACUGAUGGAAAGCUCUUCAUACAUUCACUGUGCUGAAACUGUGAAGACAACUCAGACAGAGACUAAAAAAGAUUCAAAACAACACCACUGAAACACUGAAGACUGAUCUUAAAAACCCUAAAUGUCUAAAUUUAAAAAACUGAAGAUCACAGUGGAAGAUUGCCAUAUUUAAAUAAAAAAAUCAGUUUUUCAGUAAAAUGAAAAUAAAAGGAUGUUUUUUUUGUCAA